rnacentral:rRNA from 1 species
UACAGAGGUCUCAAGCGUUGUUCGGAUUCAUUGGGCGUAAAGGGCGCGUAGGUGGUUCUGUAUGUCUACCGUGAAAGCGUACGGCUCAACCGUAUUUUGUCGGUGGAAACUGCAGGACUUGAGGCUGGGAGGGGCUGGUGGAAUUCCCUGUGUAGCGGUGAGAUGCGUAGAGAUGGGGGAGAACACUCGUGGCGAAGGCGGCCAGCUAGACCAGUUCUGACACUGAGGCGCGACAGCGUGGGGAGCAAACAGG